AUACUUACCUGGCAGGGGGAGACACCAUGAUCAAGAAGGCGGUUCACCCAGGGGCUUAGGCUUCGCCCAUUGCACUGGACGCAGCUGACCCCAUGCGAAAUUCCCCAAAUGUGGGAAUCUCGACUGCAUAAUUUAUGGUUGGCUUCUUACUUUCGGGUUCUCAAUGA